rnacentral:lncRNA from 1 species
UGAGAAGAGUUCUAUGUAACCCCGUCUAAUAUUUCCCAAAUGUAUUUGAUCCACAAGACACCCCAAUUCCCCACCCCCAGGAUACCCACGAGGCCUCUGGGACUUUAGAUUUGAACCAAGGCUAGCCCACACAGGACAGAGCUUCUCUGUACUUCCUAUGGAGACACCGACGGUAGAAUUUGCAGCCAAGUACAGUUAGAACAGUAGGCUUGGCCCAGAGUGUCCCAGGGAUGGGGACUGAGUGUGUGUGUGUGUGUAGUCUGCACAAGAAUCACAAGCAUGCUUAUGUGUCAGAAAAUUACCCUACCCUCGAGAAACCUCUAAAGCAAGAAAAGUUAUUACAUCAGACAGAUAUGAAUAAGGGCAAAGAUUUCAUUUGGAGUCACACAUACUAGGACUACAGUAAUGAUGGUAAAACCUCACCUGG